GAGGGACAGCACCUUCCUCCUGGGAGGCCUCUGCCAGCAGGGCUGGGAGGUAAGGGGCAUAGAGACCCUCCUGCCCUAACUGGUUCCUUCUGCACUCACAAGCUGGUUGCUUGCAAAGUCUAAGAAGCGAUGGUUGCUCCAUGUGUUAUCUCUUCUGGAGCCAGCCACUUUCUCUUGGUGUCAAACUUGGACAAUUCCCAUGGGCAGUGCUGAAAAGACUUUUUCCAGUUUUAAAGAUCUUCUCUGAAAGCAGUUGCUAGGAUCUUGUUAGUGAGGAUUAAAUACUUGGAACAAUACAGCACAAGCGUCAGUUUUACUGGAAGUGAAUAGGGCAAACUUUCCUAUAAGCUGCCCUACUUACAACCCAGAGGUGCACCACGGGAUGGCUUCCACAGCCUCACAAUGGAAAGAGCCACAGUUCUCCAUGCUGCAUGGCAAAGCAAAGGCAGGAAAGUAAACACCAGGAUUCACCAGGUGCAAAGCAAACAGCUCAAUAACCCCCACAGACAAAGCCUGCCCUGCUCCGGUGCUCAUAGGUGGAGCUCAGAGGUGAGUUCCCAGGUGCCUCCCAGUGCCCAGCCCAAACCCAGCUGCCUUCAGCCUCUCAGCUGCCACAGGUAUGUGCAAUCAGAUAUGGAAGCCAGCUGCAACGUGAGCUAUGUUUUCUUUUCAAGCUUCCUCUCUUUACCUUAAAUGCUACAUCUUCCACAGCUUUAAGGUUCUCCAUGCCUUUGAAAAAGAAUGCCAGAGCAAGAAGAGCAAACAAAAGGCUGCAGCUCCCCAGCUCCAAGAGCAGAGAAGAGGAGUCCUCACCCAGAAGUGACCUAGGGGCUUUGAACACCAGGCACUGUUAGCUGUAAAUGCAGACCACUACAACGUACUCAAGAUUUCCAAUUGCAGUAAAGGCACUGGAAGCAAGAGAUGGAUAGGUUGCCAGCUGUGUCAGUAUGAUAAGACAAGCAAGGACACCAAAGCUUUCAUUUGAAAGCAAAUUGAAACCUCAGCAGUGACACAGGGCAAAUCAGCACAUAAGCUGCACAUGGAACUCUGAGCAAGGCACUGUGGACAAACGUUUCUUAUCUUCAGCUGACGUCAAUAGGAAUAGCAGCAAAGUGUUUCCUAGAGAGGAGGAGGAGAAAGUCCAAAAGAUUUUUCAGCAGUAAAAAAGUGCUUUUCAUAAAGCAGUGCUUUAUAAAAUGUUACUGUUUUUCACUGACAGUGAGCAGACAGAAUCACCCACAAGUUCUCCCUGAAGUCUGCUUGUAUGGAUUUAACAGUGCCAUUCCUGCAGGAACGCUGCCUGCUAUCUCCACUGCAUCCCAAAGACAACCUGGGAAGCAAAGUCUCUCAAACAGCACAAGGUACAGCUGUGGUAAUUACCCACUUGCUCUGAUGGUGUGUGAAACAGGACUCUGGGAGAGGCAGGAUGUGGUGAUUGAGGCUUUCUGCAAGAUGAUGCUCCCCACAGUCACCUCCUCAUUUCUCAGAGUUCCUGCUCCUCCAGCAGCCCAUCUUACUGACUUCUGCUUUGCUUUCUAGUUUUAUUAUUUUCAUUAAAUCUAAUUAUCAGAAGAGUGGAUGAGGCCCAUCUUGGAUGGAUUUUUUUCUUUGUCAGUAGUUUUCAUUUUGCCAAGUUUGUUUUUUGUUUGUUUUUUUUUUGCUUUUAAACUCUUUUGAUAAUAAGAGGCAGGUGACCCAGCGGCAAAAACACUGCUCAUCAGCCUGGACAGCUCAGGGGAGGCUUUCUCCCCCCCGAAAGCCCAGAGGAACGAGCCUAUACUGCUGCAGAGCUGGAAUUGCACCCAGACCACAGGGAACUGUCCUGAGCGUCCCAGAAUAUUGCCCAGUCUACCUUUAGUAUCUGUCUGCUGUUUUUGGGUUGCAUUUGCAGAGCGGGGCUUGGGCUGCAUGCAGACCCAAUGGGUCUUGUUGUUGUGAGUAAUGGUGUAAGAGCAGCAGAUCCCAGAGGCUAGUCUGCCAGGGGGAACAAAGAGAUGGUUAUAGGUUUGGGGAGAAAAAAUAAGGAAACGAAAAAGAAAAGAGAACAAAGAGCCAUUGACAAGAGGCACAAAUAAGCUAGGUCUUAAGUGUCAUUCCCCAUCUGAUAAAACAAAAAUGUCCAGAGCAACCAUUAAGAAAAAAAAAUACCAUGCAGGAUUAAAUAUCUGUUUGGCUCUAUGCACUGACUGUACACAGAGCUCUUUUUCCUUUUGUGCUCUCAGUUAUCUUUCUUCUUGAUUAAUGUGGAGCUGGCCACAUACUCAUAUGCGGAUGAUGCAGACCCAUAUUUUGGGAGCUGCCUUUGUGUAGUCUGUACUUUCAGGAGCCUGGAGCAAAGCAAAACAGCAACAUGUGUGUGAAGGAAAGGGGAAGGUGCUUGGGCUGAUCCUAUGAGAUGCAUCAAAGGGGUAAGGAUGAGAGUUUGAGAAGGAUUCAAAGCCAGAGACAACUCCAGCAAUGGGUUAAAGAUGGCAAGACAGUACUGAAUAAAAAAUACACAGCAGAAAAGGACAAGUGUGGGGAGUGCCGCUGUGGGCUGCUUUGGGGCAAACAGGACAUUGGUGACCAUCAGGCAGCAAGGAGAUGGACGGUGGCUGCCCCUCACUGGGCUGUGAGCAGUGAGGGGGCUGCACGCAAUUUGGCUUUGCCAUGCCAAAGAGAAGGGGGAUAAUCCAUUCUCCACAGCACGUGGAGGUAAAUAAGGCAAGAAAUAAUGAGAUUAAAGUGCAGCAAGGGAAGCUCAAUACAGCUGUCAGAAAAAACUUCCUAAUGGUAAGGACAGCUGCAUAUUGCAAUUGCCUCUUGGGGCCAUGGCAUCUCCACUGGAGUGAGACGCAUGGGGCUGUCAGGAACGGCUGGGUAAAGCUGCAUGCAUUUCUAGGCAGCAGAGAUGUGCUGGUGCUUCUUGUUAGUUUCUCUUCCAGCCACACUUUUGGAAAACAAUUGAAGGACUGCCAAGGUCAAUGGCACUGCGGUGAUUUCCACUGGUGACAGACAGAAAGCUAGAUCACCAGUGUGUCUCUGAAGCACAGGAUGUGAUGUCCUCUUGGGAACCCAGCUGGGGAAACUGGAAUUCAAAGGUAAACAAAAUCUUCUGACUCACAGUCCCUAUGAUCAGCCACGAGACAAUCCUCCUCUCCCAUCUUAAGGUCUGUAAGGCCCAAGAAGCUGACUCUGACUCACUGAGGAGGCAUGAGGACUGGGCCAUUUCCACAGUGUGCACCUUUCUUCCUGACAGCGCAGACAGAAGUAAGACGGGAGAAAGCCUGCACCGCACUGGCUCCAGUUUCUCUUCGGGUAUCACUGGGCUUUGAUUGUUCUCUUUGGUACAAGAAUAAGUUAAACUGAUAUUUGCAAGUAUCUAUUUGAACUCCCCUGCACUGAUAGGCACAGGCAUUGGGAAAUUUGUAUUUAGUACCACCACUGCUGCAUCUUUGAACUUAAUUUUGGAAGCACCCCUGUCACUCCAGUGAAAGUAAAACACGAUAUGGAACUAAAAGCUUCCUGCCAGACUUACAAUGCUAAGUGCUGCCAGCUUUUUCUGGAGAAGAGUCUUCAGUAAAAUAUUUUCUAAUUGAGGAAUGCUGAUUCCUUCAAACUGUUGACUUUCUGUUGAGAACCACAAAGAAAAAC